rnacentral:rRNA from 1 species
AAAUUGAAGAGUUUGAUCAUGGCUCAGAUUGAACGCUGGCGGCAGGCCUAACACAUGCAAGUCGAGCGGUAACACAGAGAGCUUGCUCUCGGGUGACGAGCGGCGGACGGGUGAGUAAUGUCUGGGAAACUGCCUGAUGGAGGGGGAUAACUACUGGAAACGGUA